AUACGAAGGGGGCUAGCGUUGUUCGGAAUUACUGGGCGUAAAGCGCACGUAGGCGGACAUUUAAGUCAGGGGUGAAAUCCCAGAGCUCAACUCUGGAACUGCCUUUGAUACUGGGUGUCUAGAGUAUGGAAGAGGUGAGUGGAAUUCCGAGUGUAGAGGUGAAAUUCGUAGAUAUUCGGAGGAACACCAGUGGCGAAGGCGGCUCACUGGUCCAUUACUGACGCUGAGGUGCGAAAGCGUGGGGAGCAAACAG
rnacentral:rRNA from 1 species